rnacentral:rRNA from 1 species
UACGUAGGGUGCGAGCGUUGUCCGGAAUUAUUGGGCGUAAAGGGCUCGUAGGCGGUCUGUUGCGUCGGGAGUGAAAACUCAGGGCUUAACCCUGAGCCUGCUUCCGAUACGGGCAGACUAGAGUUCGGUAGGGGAGACUGGAAUUCCUGGUGUAGCGGUGAAAUGCGCAGAUAUCAGGAGGAACACCGGUGGCGAAGGCGGGUCUCUGGGCCGAUACUGACGCUGAGGAGCGAAAGCGUGGGGAGCGAACAGG